GGCCUCUCAAAGCUUACCACAGGCUGUGUUCUUUGUACUGGCUAUAGAGAAAGAGCAGGUACCGUAAAUGCUCCCAUAUACACCUCAAACCAGGCUCUGUGCCUGGUCAGUAUUGUGAAUGGGGGCACAAGA